UCCUGGCUGGCUUAGUUGGUAGAGCAUGUGACUCUUGAUCUUGGGGUUGUGAGUUCAAGCCCCACGUUGGGUG
rnacentral:tRNA from 1 species